ACUGUCCAAAGUGCUUUACAUCAGCUGUUGACACAACGAAGAACGGCGUGGAAGCAGCGACGCUCGGCCGUAGACAGUAUGCGUGAAAGCUGCGAGGCACUAAAUACCAAGCAGAAGACAGAUUCCACUCCACAGAUUUAGGCUUCAGCUUGUUUUGAGGCUGUGCAUCCUCACGAUCCCCGGCCCACAUCAUCAACAAGUGAUCAGAUUCAAAGUUGAAGAUCCACCUUCACACUCAUCCAUUGCAUGUUUGACACCAACCUUCUUUUAAAUCUCUUUUUGAAUUAAACUGCCUUCGCUCUUCGUUCCUGG